GAUGAACGCUGGCGGCGUGCCUAAUACAUGCAAGUCGAGCGAACGGACGAGAAGCUUGCUUCUCUGAUGUUAGCGGCGGACGGGUGAGUAACACGUGGAUAACCUACCUAUAAGACUGGGAUAACUUCGGGAAACCGGAGCUAAUACCGGAUGAUAUUUUGAACCGCAUGGUUCAAAAGUGAAAGACGGUCUUGCUGUCACUUAUAGAUGGAUCCGCGCUGCAUUAGCUAGUUGGUAAGGUAACGGCUUACCAAGGCAACGAUGCAUACCCGACCUGAGAGGGUGAUCGGCCACACUGGAACUGAGACACGGUCCAGACUCCUACGGUAGGCAGCAGUAGGGAAUCUUCCGCAAUGGGGGAAAGCCUGACGGAGCAACGCCGCGUGAGUGAUGAAGGUCUUCGGAUCGUAAAACUCUGUUAUUAGGGAAGAACAUAUGUGUAAGUAACUGUGCACAUCUUGACGGUACCUAAUCAGAAAGCCACGGCUAACUACGUG
rnacentral:rRNA from 1 species